UGAAGAACGUAGCAAAAUGCGAUAAGUAAUGUGAAUUGCAGAAUUCAGUGAAUCAUCGAAUCUUUGAACGCACAUUGCGCCCGCCAGUACUCUGGCGGGCAUGCCUGUCCGAGCGUCAUUUCAACCCUCAGGGCCCUCCAGCAGGGCGCUGGUGUUGGGGAUCGGCAGUCCCAGCGGCUGCCGUCCCUGAAAUGUAGUGGCGGUCCCACCGUGACCUCCCCUGUGCAGUACAUCGCUCGCAGAGGGACAGCGGUGCGGCCACGCCGUAAAACGCCCAACUCUUCAAGGUUGACCUCGGAUCAGGUAGGACUACCCGCUGAACUUAAGCAUAUCAAUAAGCGGAGGA
rnacentral:misc_RNA from 1 species